rnacentral:rRNA from 2 species
AACGCUGGCGGCGUGCGUAACACAUGCAAGUCGAACGAGAAUGUACUGACAGAUCCUUAGGGUGAAGAUAGUACAGGACAGUGGCGGAUGGGUGAGUAACGCGUAAGAAACCUGCCUUUCACACCGGGAUAGCAGCUGGAAACGGCUAUUAAUACCGGAUGACACUUUUUCCCCGCAUGAGGAAGAGGUUAAAGAAUUUCGGUGAAAGAUGGUCUUGCGUCUGAUUAGCUAGUUGGUGGGGUAACGGCCUACCAAGGCGACGAUCAGUAGCCGGCCUGAGAGGGUGUACGGCCACAUUGGGACUGAGACACGGCCCAAACUCCUACGGGAGGCAGCAGUGGGGAAUUUUGCACAAUGGAGGAAACUCUGAUGCAGCGACGCCGCGUGAACGAAGAAGGUCUUCGGAUUGUAAAGUUCUGUCCUGGGUGAAGAGGAUGACGGUAACUCAGGAGGAAGCCCCGGCUAACUACGUGCCAGCCGCCGCGGUAA